rnacentral:rRNA from 1 species
AAUGAACGUUGGCGGCGUGGAUUAGGCAUGCAAGUCGUACGGGUCGGUGUAGCAAUACAACGGCAAGUGGCGAAAGGGAGAGUAACACGUAGAUACCUACCCUCUGGUCGGGGAUACCGCGGCAUAACCGCAAGUAAUACCCGAUAAAAUCUCCGGAUCAAAGGUGUGAUUCCGCCGGAGGAGGGGUCUGCGUCCUAUCAGCUUGUUGGUGAGGUAAUGGCUCACCAAGGCUAAGACGGAUACGGGGUGUGAGAGCAUGCCCCCGCUCACUGGGACUGAGACACUGCCCAGACACCUACGGGUGGCUGCAGUCGAGAAUCGUCGGCAAUGGGCGCAAGCCUGACCGAGCGACGCCGCGUGCGGGAUGAAGGCCUUCGGGUUGUAAACCGCUGUCGAGGGGAAUGAAGUGUAGGUGGGUACUCCCAUCUAUUUGACAGAUCCCUGGAGGAAGCAUGGGCUAAGUUCGUGCCAGCCGCCGCUGUAAGAC